UACGGGGGGGGUAAGCGUUGUUCGGAAUUACUGGGCGUAAAGGGCUCGUAGGCGGCCAACUAAGUCGGACGUGAAAUCCCUCAGCUUAACUGGGGAACUGCGUCUGAUACUGGAUGGCUUGGAUUUGGGAGAGGGAUGCGGAAUUCCAGGUGUAGCGGUGAAAUGCGUAGAGAUGUGGAGGAACACCGAUGGCGAAGGCAGCCUCCUGGGCCAGCACUGACGCUCAUGCACGAAAGCGUGGGGAGCAAACAGG
rnacentral:rRNA from 1 species